GGUGCCGCGGUGUGCGAACCGAGCGAUCUGACGACGGACGAGGUUGAGCGGCUCAUUGAAGCGGUGAGAGAGCGCGAGUGUCUUUAUGACGUCGGUUCUCUAGAGUACAGGGAUUCCAAGCGAAAAAAGAAUGCCUGGGAGUCCGUGCGCAUUGCCUGCGGCAUGAAGUCCGGUGAGGACGCACAAAAAGCGUGGAAGCGUGUACGCGACAGGUAUGUUCGGGAGGUCCGCGCCAUUGAAGCUGCCACAAGGAGUGGCAGUGGCUUCGUCCGGAAAAAACAAUGGGCCUUCCUGGAAAUGAUGUCGUUUUACGAGAAACAUAUCCGACCCAGGAAGGCAACCACCAACGUAAAGGCACC